GUGGAUAUAGCUCAGUGGUAGAGUACGUGCUUAGCAUGCAUAAGUUCCUGGGUUCAAUCCUAGGUACCUCCA
rnacentral:tRNA from 1 species